UCCUACCUUGAAAUUCUAAGAUCUCUGGUCUAUAAAUUGUAAGGUGAAUGUAUUUUUGUUAUUAUUAUUUGCACUAUAAGGAUUGUUAGAGGUCAUCUAGCUCAAGACCCUCAUUUAAAAGAACAGGAAAUCAGGAAACUCUUUUCUCUGACACCAAACCCAGUAUUCUUUCCUCUCUCUAUACGCCACCCAUAGACUAGAAUCUGCUUUCGACCUACACUGCAGUCUAUUUUUCAGAGAGGAGCAGUCAUGUCAGACAUGGAGCCAAGCUGAACUAGGGAUAACAUAAGGAGGCUGGAGUGAAGUGGAUUCCAGUUGCAUUUUAAGAGAGCCCUCUGGUAGAAAAUCACCAUCCAUCCUCUACAAUUCUCUAUUCAAUCAAAGUUCCAUGGUGGCCAAUCACAGACUGAAUCAACCUUGAAGAGGAAAGGAACGUUGCCUGUAUUCAUUUCCAAAGAACAAUCAAAUGGAAUAGCUACAAAGUGCCCUCCUGCUAUGUUUUUCAUUUGUACAUAGAUGCUUGCACAUCAUCUCCCCCAUCAGACUGUGAUGACGUGAGCAGGCAUUGAGAGGGUCUCUGUUUAUUUUGUUUUGAGUUUUGCCUUUCUUUGUAUCCUUUAGCUGGUUGAUUAAUUGAUUGUUAUCCUAUAUUCUUGAAAAGUACCAAACUGAUAUCACUAGGUCAGAGCAGAGUUACAGUGUGUGUCUGACAGUCACUGAUCAAAGCAAUACGAGCUUGGAUUGGUCAGACACUUAUAAACAUUUGGGGGCUUCUCUAACUUUGCAUUAUAUUUCUUCUGAGCUAACUCAAUUCUGCUUUGCUCAUAGAGCACAGCACCUUCUCUGACGAGGGCAUGCUGUGCUGGGUGAUCUUGUGCCAAUCUUUCAUGUCAUACAAUCAAUCCUAAAGUUCUUAACAGAGACCUUGAGAGUGUCCUUGUAUGGAUUUUUCUGACCCCCUUGUAAACGCUUACCCGGUGUGAGCUCUCCAUAAAAUAGUCUUUUUGGCAAGGGUACAUUUGGCAUUCAAACAAUGUGGCAGUCCAGCGGAGUUGUGCUCUCUACGGUAGAAUUGGAAAGCUUGGCAGUUUGUCUCACUGAGAAAGAACCUCAGUGUCUGGAAUCUUAUUCUGCAAGGGGAUCUUCAGCAUCUUCCUAGGACAAUUCAAAUAGUAGCAAUUCAGUUUCCUGGCAUGGCUCUGGUAGACUGCACUGUAUUUAGCAGGUAUUUAGCACCUGCCACAUAGUAGGAGCUUAAUAAAUGUUGACAGACUGAUUUACUAGAAGCUUAUUCUAUGUGUUCCUCCUCCUCCUCCAAAGUGACAGACCCACUGCUAUCUUAGAAAUUAAGAAGUUAGAAAUUCUUUUUAGUCCUUUAUUAGAGGAAAUCCAGCAGCACCAAGAGAAGUAGGGAAGGAUAGAAAGGGUUAAGAGAAAACUGACCACAAUCUUAAGAAAGUGAGAGGGAGGGUGACCAAGAAGGGAGCAAAGGUCUGAGAAACUUAAACUUACAUCAACAGAUGGGAAGAGCCAAGUAAUGGGCUCCAAGAAUAGAUUUUGAGCUGGAAGAGGACAUCUUAAGUCAUCUAAAGCUGACUCCAUGUAACAGAACAGGAAACUGAGAUCCAAAGAAAGGUGAUUUAGGCAAAGUAAGUAGGAGAGCAGGGAUCAGGUUUCUAUACCACCAAGACAGACGUUCCAGUCAACAUGGAAAAAUGAACAACAGAAAGACCAAGUCAAUCCUCUGCUCAAAAUCUCCCUAUUACCUACCAAGUCAAAUUCAAAAUCCUAUGCUUGCCAAUCAAAACCCUCCACAAUCUGCAUCAUGCUACCUUUGUAGUCUUAUUUAAUCUUAUUCUCCAGCAGCUCUUUCCCCCAAGUCCACUCAACAAUUUAUCUAGACAUUUUUUUUUCUCUUUGUCCCCUAUGUCUGAAAUGUCUCUCCUCUGCUCUUUUUCUGGCAAAUUCUUUCCCAUCCUCCUCACCCUAACAUUCUUGUUGUCUUUCCUAAUAUCUCAGUCUCUGCUUCUCUGUCUCUGAAUCUUUCUCCAUGUAUUUACAUAUAUUCAGAUAUCUGCACAUAUCUACAUGUAUAGACACACAUACCCAUUAUAGACAUACAUGUGUAUACAUAC